GCCGCGGCAGCUUUUAUCUUCUUCAGGAAGCAAAGAAUGCGAGAAAGGUCUUCAAGUACAUCAUCAACUAGUUAUCUAACGUAUCAGAAAGACAGAGAGAUGGAAGAGAGCAUUUUAGAAAAUGAAACCUGUAUCAAUGGCGCUUAUGAACCGGAGCAGGAACUGAGAACUCCUUUGACAACCGAAAAAGGCACAGAUGUAUA